UUGAAGAAGUGUGCAAUUUGUGAAUAAGUGUUAUUUUAGUGCAUAAUUAGUUAUGCUAUUAUUAAAACAUACAAUCGCAGGAUCUUGCAAGUGAUAGAACCUCAGUAUGUGACAUAAAUAUGAUAAAUAUAUUAUAAUCCAUUCAAAAUGAAUGUCCAAAUCUUGUAAAUUAAAAACCCCUCUUACCAAAUUGUUAUUUCAUAUUUUAAACGAGUGUCGUGAAAUUGUGUAAUAGAGAGAACUGGGGCUUACAUUUGGAACGAGGGAUGAUAUUUCUGAUGCCGUUCACCUUCGCCCGGCCCCCUUUGUACCAGAGCCUCACGGACUCGUUCAACUCCGUCAAGGACGGCUUCAGCGAUGCUUGGAAUUCUUUGACUCGUAAAAUAGAGAAGCGUUACUACGACGCCGGUGAUUGGGUCACGCAAAAAUUAAGGGGAACCAUUGUAAAGUUAAGUGAAUUCCGUCCAUUAGGAGUGUAAUAUUUCUCGAAACAAUUUGAGGGUAAAUAAAAUAUAUUUAAUUUCAAGAUUUUCAGUUGACACAUGGAACACAGUAUCGGACAAAUAUAGAGCCACCGAAGAAUGGAUUACGACGAAAUGGAAAAGACUCAACUCAUUGCUUUAUGAAAUAAAUCCAUUUAUACCAUAGUAUUUAUCACAAAAUUAGGAAAUUAUAGUCUUAAAUUAGUUUAAUAUUUAUUUAAUUUAUUUCUGUAAAUAGUACUGCUACCAUUUGAGUCAAUUUAGUUAUUUUAAUUGAUUGAUUGUUACCUCAAGCCUUGGGUUAUGUGAGUCAGGUUACAACAAGGCGUUUUACGUGUUCCUUUUUUUACAUCGUUAAUAUUUUUAUGUAUUGUAUAAAUGUUAACUCUUCAGUAUAUGUUUAUUAAAAACAAACCGAAUGUUAAUUCAUGAAAAUUGUGUUUUUAUUUAUUUAAAA